AAUGUUAUCGCAAUAGUAAUUGAACUUAGUACGAGAGGAACCGUUCAUUCGGAUAAUUGGUUUUUGCGGCUGUCUGAUCAGGCAACGCCGCGAAGCUACCAUCCGCUGGAUUAUGGCUGAACGCCUCUAAGUCAGAAUCCAUGCUAGAAAGCGAUGAUUCUUGCCUCGCACAUUUUAGUUGGAUAAGAAUAAGGCUCUUUGAGUCGCUGAACCAUAGCAGGCUGGCAAUGGUACACUUAACGGAAAGGUUUUGUGUGCUUGCCGGCGAAUAGCAAUGUCAUAAUGCGCGGGGAUAAAUCCUUUGCAAACGACUUAAAUGUACAACGGAGUAUUGUAAGCAGUAGAGUAGCCUUGUUGUUACGAUCUGCUGAGAUUAAGCUUCAGUUGUCCGAUUU
rfam:Scheffersomyces stipitis CBS 6054 chromosome 3, complete sequence.